UGGACUCCAUCUUUGACCACCCUCUUGAGUCUCCUGCCUUCAACACUCCUCUACCUAAGACCAAGGAUUAUCCAGAGAUCCUCCAGAGAACUAGUUCAGACAUUACAUUUUGGCACUCAAUGUGGGGCCCUAGACUUGAGACUCUGAAGGUAAGGACCUACACUCAGCAGUUCAACUGACAUGAUCGGAAGCUCAGUGGAGAAGUCCCUGUGACCCAGAAAUAAGGAAGCCUAAAAAAUAAGACUGGAUUACCAAGCAUCCCUCAUGACACAACAUGAGAGACACCCCAUAAUGGAAGAGAUUUCUGCAUGGCACAGUGCAAACAAAGGACAUUAGAUUUAGAAUCUCAGAACCUGGUUUCAUCAGAUUACAAAUGGGAUCCUUGUCACAAAAAAGCUGCUUUAGCUAAAGUCCUUUGGAAUCUCAGGAACAAAAUGCUCAGUUGCCAGUUAGAGGCUCAGAGGUCAUCACAUUCUCAAGGUGCCCCACACAGGUUCUGUGUUUAUCUCUCAAAAAGAAGAUGUUUUCCAUUUUAUAGGCAAUAUGUUUAUGCUGGCGAUGUGACCCUCAUCACAAGGCUGAUGUUUGUGGAUCUGAACCUUCAGGGACUCCACAGAGGGAUUGCUUUGUCAGUGUUCUCAGCUCAUCCUUUCCAUACAGAUGAAUUUAUAAGAAGCCUGUCACAAGAUCAUUGGGGCCAGCUCAUUUUCUGGGUCUUCCUUCCUGGAAUGAUUUGGGACCUGAGGGUAGUUAGAAAUCAG
rnacentral:lncRNA from 1 species